rnacentral:rRNA from 1 species
GGCGGCGUGCUUAACACAUGCAAGUCGAACGCGCAGCAGUUUGUAGCAAUACAGAUUGUGGGCGCGUGGCGAACGGGUGCGUAACACGUGGAUAACCUUCCUUCAGGUGGGGAAUAACCCAGUGAAAAUUGGGCUAAUACCGCAUAACAUGACGAUGGCUCAUGCCGUUGUCUUCAAAGGCGCAAGUCGCCAGAAGAGGGAUCCGCGGCCGAUUAGCUUGUUGGCGAGGUAAUGGCUCACCAAGGCAUUGAUCGGUAGCCGGACUGAGAGGUUGGCCGGCCACACUGGAACUGAGACACGGUCCANACUCCUACGGGAGGCAGCAGUGGGGAAUCUUGCACAAUGGACGAAAGUCUGAUGCANCAACGCCGCGUGGGGGAUGAAGCUUUUCGGAGUGUNAACCCCUUUCGACCCGGAAGAAA